CUCGUGCAGGAAGGCGAUCUGGAUCUGACGGUUGCAGGGGGCUGCAGAGCUCGGCCUCCGAAGCGGGCGUUAGGGGACCGGGGCUCCUCGGGCUUCCCACUUGGAGGAAGGUUCCAGGAAGACUCAUUUCUGCCCUUUGAGAAUUUUGAUCUGUGACAUUGCCCAGGAAAGUGAUCACAGAUUGGGAGAGAAGUCUUGGGCCACAUAAAAACCUGCUUGAUAAGGUGUUCUUAUCACCUUCAGAAUCUGCUUACCCACCCAGUGUCGGCUGGUAAGUACAAGAGCCAUUUAUGUUACAGGUGAGGGAACUGAGGCACAGAAAGGCCAAAUGAUUGGGUUAUAGAGACACAGGAAGAGAUCAAUCUGUCUGGAGUGCUGUUCCCUUUCCCUGCAAACUUUCGCUUUGAAGAGGAAUCCAAACUAUGCUUAUACAAGGGGUGUCGUUUUACCUGCCCCGUAAACUUUGUGAGGACCGAGCUGUCUUAUUCUCUGCUGCAUCCCAAGCACCUGAUCCAUGUUGAAUGCUCAGCUUGUGUUGACGGAAGAGAAGGAAAUUCAGACUUGGAGGAGAAGAAAAGGGUGAGCUCGGAAAGAAGAUACAGGUUUUAUGUGUCAAGUAGGAUAGUUGAAGUCUAAUGUCUUCUGAAAACAAGCAGUUGCAAAGUGGGUGAUUGCUAAAUUGGCUUGCAAUUAUAGAUGAGAUAUACUUGCUAAAUUGGCUUGAAAUUAUAGAGAAGACAUACUUGCUAAAUUGGCUUGAAAUUAUAGUUGAGAUAUAUGUUCAAAAAGAUAAGGUCUUAUCCUGGCAGGAAAAUACAUAAGAAUGAUGAACGUUUGCCAGGGAGACUGUUGGCGCUUUUUAUCCGUGGUGCUCACCAUGGUCCUGAAGCAAGUUAUUCUUCCCAUUUUACAGAAGGGAAACCCUUAACUUAGUGGGAUGAACAAUGCCCAGCACUGACAGCAUUCUCAUCCUCAGUUGACUGAUGCGCGUUCUCCAGAGUGUCACAUUGGAGCUUUAAAAAAAAAAAAUCCCUCCAUUUGGUCUGCACCUCCCACCAAUUAAAUCAAAUUCUCUGAAGGACAGGACCCAGAAUCACUAUAUUUAAAGUUUUACAGUUGCCUCCAAAUUUGAGAACCAUUUCUUUCAAUGGUGCUAGUUUAUCUAGAGCCAGUGCAAAUAGUUCUGGGCAUCUUGACUCACCCUCACUAGCCAUCCUCUCUUCCCGUUGCUCCAUGCCUUGCUUGCUUGAUAGCUCAUUUUCCCUCUUUUUGUAGUUUUCUGGUGGGAUUUUGUAUUGAUGGAAUCAUCUCAGACACAAGUGACUCAGAGGGUGGACUGUUUGCCGGUGAUUCAUGCCCAUGUCUAGAAUGUUGAUAACUCACCUAUUUGCAUCAUUUCAUCCCAAACAAAUGGGUGCCACAGAGAAAGGCUGCCAAAGGAGGAUGACAGAGGGGAGAUGGAAACUAAUCCCAUAUGAAGAAAAACUCAAGAAAAUUUCAUUUAAUUAUGAUCCCUUUUGAUUUCCCAAGGCGUUUCCUUUGGUCGUACAGAAUUGAGUGGAUACAAUGGCUUUGGGAAAGACCCACGUUAGCUGUGACUUCCAGCUGUGGGUUGGCUUGUCCUCUGUUCUGCUGUCUUGGUUGUGGGAGGCCUCACCACACCAAGCAUGGGCCUCAGAACAGCAGCAUUGGCAUCAAUGAUGUCUGCUAGAAAUGCAGAGUGCCAGGGCCCACCCCAGGCCUGUGGAUCAGAAUCUGCAUUUCAAAAAGAUUCCCAGGGGAUUUGGGUGCACAUUUCUAUUUAAGAAGCCCUGUGGGUUGUGCCCAGAAUGUACUAUGGUGUCCCACUAAUAUUCCUUCUUGGUAAUAUUAGCAAUAGUAUGAAUACUAAUGGAUGCUAGGCACUGUGCUUAGAAGCCUUGUGUAUAUUAUUUUGUUGAAAUAGCUCAACAAUCCUUGACCUAGAUGUUAGCAUUAUUCCCAUUUUUCUUGGGGAGGAAACAGAAAUAAAUGAUCCCAUACUGGUGAGAGGCAAUGAGAAGUAUGAUUUUAGAUGGGAUUCAGGUCUUGCUGGCUUCUAAAAUUCAUGGUUGCUCUGUGUUACACUGUUGAUCUUUUUGAAUGAAUUAACUCAGAAAUCCUAAAUUGCUCCAAUUUGUUCAUUUGCUCAGUCAUCAGACAUUUUCUGUCUGCUAUGAACCAGGUUGUAGGCCAGGCACUGGGGUGAACUUGGAGAGAAAUGAGGUAGAGUUUGCCUUCUCAUGGCCCUCUCAAUGUGGAGGCAUCAUGGGAAGAUGGGAGGGAAGAGGAGACAGAUAAAAAUAUUGAAUGUCUUCUGCUUCUUUGGUAGUUUGUGAUGUCAGCCAAUCUUGAGGUUGAAUUCAUCUUGUUGUUUCUCUCCCAAAGACUAAAUCCAUUGCUCCAAGCACUAGUGACUCACGCAUUUUACUGAAGGUUUUCUGAAGAGAGAAGAGGUUUCUUUGCAUCCCAAAUAGCAGACAGCUUAGGAGAUGUCACCACGAGACUUCUGGGUCCUCCUCAUUUCUUCUCUCCACUUUCCUCCAUGCAGUUCUGAAUCACCACCUCUGCCUCCUUCUGCAAAGACUCUGAGCUCUCAAAUCCACAAGCCCUGGAGAUGCAGCUUCUACUGAGCAUCUCAGAUGCUUUUUACCUGUCUUUCCCUAGGCAUUUGGCUGCCAAGAAGACCCAGAUUGUCUUAAUGUUAGUAUAUUUUAUAAUUACCCUAGCACAUGAGAAGUUCUGUGAUGCAGUUCCAUCCAGAAAUCAUGGAGGGUCAUCAAAAAGGAGGCCAGCGGCUACACAUACAAGAAAUACUGGCUCUGUUGUCCAGUUUUCUACCUUCCUUUAUGUACCUUCAUUGGAGAGGUUUCAGUGAAGUUCUGCCUGUUUGUUCUUAGUAUCAUAGGAUGGCAGAUCAGAAGUUACUUUGAAUCAUCUACUCUAGGGGUUUGCUUGUGUUUAUGUGGUUUUUAGCUAAUUCUUUUUGCAAAUGUGUAAACUCACUAUGCAAAUCAAUGGCUCCACUGAGCUUGGAGCCAUUCUUCUCACUCAAAGUCCCUCUAUUCUCCCCUUUCCCUGACCUGGUUUCUAUUUGUCCCCCUUAAGCCUGACACUGGCCUCUGAAGAAUCAAUACAUUGGCCUCUUUGUGUGUCAGAAUACUGUUGGUUAAAAACAUCAAAUAGCUCAAUAACUACAUUCUGGACUAGCUUCAGGCAUAGCUGGAUCAUGGUGCUCAAAUGCUAGGAUCAAAGAUCUCUUCUCUUUCUUUUGCCUGCUUUCUUCAACAUUGGGUUCCUCCCCUCACAGACUGGUCCCUCAGCCCUUAAGCCUCAGGUAGCUUGGUAAUCAAAGGCCUGGGGAAGGAGGACCUCUCUCUGUCUUAGGAUUUCAAGGGGACAUUACUGAGUCUCCCCGGACUGCCUUAGGUUAUGGAUCUGGCUGCUGUGGCCAAGAGGUAGAGGGUGCCAGUUGGUCAGGUGUGGGCCAGGCACUUGCCUUGGGGCUGGUGUUGAGGUGGAGUUUGUGUCACCUGAAGCACACUACUGUGGCAGCUGUGACCUGUUACCACAAUAGACAAGGACAAGGGUUGAAAAUCACACAUCGAUUUCAGAAUCCAGCUCUGCUAGUUGCGUGAUGGUAUGACUGAACUUACAAGAUGACAAUAUACUGCUCAUGUCAUAUGAGCCUUCAGCCAUGCCGGGUCCCAGGCUGUCCUGAAUUUCAGCUCAGUUUUCUCUGUUCAGCACCCCAUCUUUUCAGGGUGAGGAAACAGCUUCUUAUUUCCUGAUAAACAGAAUCCUUCACAGCCUCUCUCUGGCAGUUACCCUGAGGACCACCUGUGACUUUGGUCUGUGUUCUUUCUGAUGCUGAGUGGGAUGUGCCAGCCUCUUCAAAAUCCAGCACACAUGACAGAAGCAAUGAGAAAAACAUUAGAAAGGAUUUUUCCCCCUAAUUAAAAACAAACAGACACACUGGCAGGAUUGUCCAUGUAUCUAUUUUGGUGCUCAGGCCUAUGUCUAUAGAUUGUUUAGAGAAAUGAACUGAUUAUUGGGGUAUUUCAUGGGAAAUAUGUGUCUCUGAUUUGAGCAGCUCACAUCACUAUCCAAAUUCUUCACUUAAGGGGAGAGCUCUGGGGGUGUAGACUUGGUUUUAUUGUGGCCUAACUAACAAGAUAGCAAAAUGGAGCAUCUGUAAGAACAUUUUGUAAGUACUUACAAAGUUUUCAGAAACAAAAGCUUAAUGAAUUUUCACAAAUGAAUAGAAUAUAUAAUGCUAAGAAUCCUCCUGCCAAAGCCCCUAAAAUGCCAAAUAAUGAAUAAUUUAAUUAUAAAAUAAAAUUUCAAUUUAGCAGCUUCUGGAUUCCCACUUGGCUCAUGAAAGCUUACUUUGCAUCACUUCUUAGUCUAAGAGUGACAUACCUUGCGUUUGUCCUUGGCGAAUAUUGAAACUGGGGCUGAAAUUUCUUCCAGAGAAAUCCUGACCACCAAGGAGGUUCUGUCCAGGGUCUGCUUAUAAACUAUGCUGGAUACAGAGAGCAUUUAUUGUGCACCUCUUAUUUCAGCUACCAUGUGGAGUCCUUCACAUUGUUUAUACUUUUCUUUUUAAAACAGCUUUUAAAGUGCAUUAUUAUCCCAUUUUACAGAUGAGGAGGCUGAACCUCAGUGAUCAUUAUACAGCAAAUAAAAGAUGCAGGAUUUGAACAUGAGUCUACCUGACCUCAGAGGCUGAAAAACAAAAUCAGAAGGGAGCUUUAGGGUUUUAAGAUUUUCUUUUCACCUCUGUGCUAUUAGUUGCAAACUUCUGGGUCAGAGGUCCAUGCUUAUAUUUGUUGAUUUUUUUUUUUUUGAGACAGAGUUGCAUUCUGUUGCCCAGACUAGAGUGCAGUGAUGCAAUCAUGGCUCACUGCAGCCCCCAACUCCUGGGCUUGUCAAGCAAUCCUCCUACCUCAGCCUCCCGAGUAGCUGGGACUACAGGUGCAUGCCACCAUGGCUGGCUAAUUUUUAAUUUUUUUUUAGAGACAGGAUCUUGCUAUGUUGCCCAGGCUAGUCUGGAGCUCCCGGCCCCAAGCAGUCUUCCUAUCUUGACCUCCCAAACUGCUGGGAUUGCAGGAAUGAGCCACAAAUCUCACUCAGCCAUUAGUUGAAUUUAUCAAUGCCCUCCUAAUAUGGCUUUCAAGUUUUGAUUAACUCACAACCUGGUAGAAAGGAGCAGUCAGCAGAAAAAUGAAACAGCAUGGUAAGUUCUCUGAUGGGGAGUCUCUGGGGCCUGGGAGCAUUGCUGAAGCCAUUUUGCUCAUCUAAGAAAGCUUGGUUUAAGGUGGUUUAUGUUAAUGUGGCACAUAAGGCUUAACACACUCUCUUUGUGCUCUUGAAUUAGUGGAUUAUGUAACCUAGUACAAUAGCACCUUUUUCUGAGCAGUUUUCCAGGCAUGGUGGUUGGAUGUUCACAUACAUUACCUUGGCAGCCUACAUAAAACCAGGCCCCCACGUGGUUCAGUCCCAUUGUGGCAUCACAAUCAAAGAAAUAAGGUGGAGAGGAACAAAAUGAGGGAAAUGCAGGCAAUUUCAACCCCUUGAGAACAUUUGGCAGUGUCUGGAGACAUUGUUGUCAUGUGCCAUGAUUUGGGGAGUUACUGGCAUCUCAUGGGAAGAGGCCAGAGAUGCUGCUAAAUAUCCUACAGUGUCCAGGAUGGCCUCCUACAACAGAGACUGAUCUGAUUCCAAACGUCAGUGAUGCUGAGGCUGAGAAACCCAGGUGAAAUGCAGUGAAAACAUUUACGGCACUCUCUCCAGAGAGUGCCAAGGGGUCAGAGAAUAUGUGCCAAUUGCGCAGCCAAACCUCUUGAGAAUCCUGACUCACUCUGCCCUUCUCUAUUGACCCAUCACAUGGAUGGCAGCUUCUCUCUUGCUCCAGUCUCAGUGGCAUUCUUGACGUCGUUUCCUGCCUCAUUUCUGGGCCUUUCUCCCCCUUUCCUCUAAUCGUUUCACUUUUGAGUGUAGGUUUUCUCAAACUUCAAUUAUCCAAAGAUUCCUUUUCUGAAUUUUAAAAUGCCUAUGUUCCGUUAAUUAACAAUCUUUUUUGAAACAGUCUGGCUCUGCUGCCCAGGCUGGAGUGCAGUGGCAUGAUCUUGGCUCAUUGCAAAGUCUGCUUUCUGGGUUCAAGUGAUUCUCAUGCCUCAGCCUUCUGAGUAGCUAAGAUUACAGGCAUACUCCACCAUGCCCAGCUAAUUUUUGUAUUUUUUAGUAGAGACAGGAUUUCACCAUGUUGGCUAGGCUGGUUUCAAACUCCUGGCCUCAAGUAAUGCACCCACCUCAGCCCCCACAAGGUGCUGGGAUUACAGAUGUGAGCCACUGUGUCUGGCUUUAUUUAAUAAUUUUAUCAUAGGCAACUCACUUCUUUCUUUGUAGGUACUACUCAAAUCUUAUGUUUAGCAAUACUGUUUUAAAAAUUAUGACUUUUAUGAACAAUAUAAUAUACAUUCAGACAUACAUAUUAUAUACACUUUAAAAUAUUCAAAUUGCUGUUUACUUGGAAAGUUACUCUGUUAAAAUAAAAAGUUGGCAUGUGUUGAUAUGUGUACCGUCACAAGCCAUCUUGUAUGCCUCCAGUGGAAUUCACUUUACACUUGUAGAAACAUUAGGCUAAACUUUCACCUUCUCCUCUUCAUCCCCUUGUUAAUAAUUGCUG